rnacentral:snoRNA from 1 species
AUGCUCAAAUCACAGUUAUUAGCAGUAUAACUAUAAGUAGUAAUGCUGCCAGUCUCUUUCAGACAAAA